CGCAUUUACUGGCAGAAGAAAGUAGAGCACAUACAGAACCUUGAGCAAGGAGAUACAAAUAAAUGCGAACUAGAACAGGUUCUGAAAGAAAUUCAUUGUGAAUAUGAACAGCUCGCUAAAAAGAAUAAAGAGGAUAUGGAGAAAUAUAAGCAGAAGUUUGAAGAAGCAAACAACACAGCACUACAAAAUGCCAAGAAGGAACUCGAAUGCUAUCGCAAAGAGGCGAAUGAGCUAAAACUGAAAGGACUAUACUUCUCAACCCUCUAUAACUGACAAAGAAGCUGAACCUAGAGACACAACUGAAACAUGCAUCAUGUCCUCUUCUGAUGAAGACAAGGAAUCUGAGGAAAAUGAAGACUUGUGUGCCCUCGAUCAAGAUUAACAGUGGACUGUAGGAAAUCAAUGGCAGGCAGAUCUGAGUGUGUUCCAAAGAUGCACAGUUACAAUGUAUAAAAAGUACUCUAAUCUCAAUCACCAGUAAACCCACAUGUUUCACUCUCAGAUUACUUGAAUAAAUGUGAGUUAAUGAC